rnacentral:rRNA from 1 species
GGACGAACGCUGGCGGCGUACCUAAUACAUGCAAGUAGAACGCUGAAGAGAGGAGCUUGCUCUUCUUGGAAGAGUUGCGAACGGGUGAGUAACGCGUAGGUAACCUGCCUUGUAGCGGGGGAUAACUAUUGGAAACGAUAGCUAAUACCGCAUAACAAUGGGUGACCCAUGUCAUUCAUUUGAAAGGGGCAAAUGCUCCACUACAAGAUGGACCUGCGUUGUAUUAGCUAGUAGGUGAGGUAACGGCUCACCAAGGCGACGAUGCGUAGCCGACCUGAGAGGGUGAUCGGCCACAUUGGGACUGAGACACGGCCCAGACUCCUACGGGAGGCAGCAGUGGGGAAUAUUGCACAAUGGGGGAAACCCUGAUGCAGCAACGCCGCGUGAGUGAUGACGGCCUUCGGGUUGUAAAGCUCUGUCUUCAGGGACGAUAAUGACGGUACCUGAGGAGGAAGCCACGGCUAACUACGUGCCAGCAGCCGCGGUAAUACGUAGGUGGCGAGCGUUGUCCGGAUUUACUGGGCGUAAAGGGAGCGUAGGCGGACUUUUAAGUGAGAUGUGAAAUACCC